rnacentral:rRNA from 1 species
AUGCACGCUGGCGGCGUGCCUAAUACAUGCAAGUCGCGCGAACAGACGAGGAGCUUGCUCCUCUGACGUUAGCGGCGGACGGGUGAGUAACACGUGGAUAACCUACCUAUAAGACUGGGAUAACUUCGGGAAACCGGAGCUAAUACCGGAUAAUAUAUUGAACCGCAUGGUUCAAUAGUGAAAGACGGUUUUGCUGUCACUUAUAGAUGGAUCCGCGCCGCAUUAGCUAGUUGGUAAGGUAACGGCUUACCAAGGCAACGAUGCGUAGCCGACCUGAGAGGGUGAUCGGCCACACUGGAACUGAGACACGGUCCAGACUCCUACGGGAGGCAGCAGUAGGGAAUCUUCCGCAAUGGGCGAAAGCCUGACGGAGCAACGCCGCGUGAGUGAUGAAGGUCUUCGGAUCGUAAAACUCUGUUAUUAGGAAGAACAAAUGUGUAAGUAACUAUGCACGUCUUGACGGUACCUAAUCAGAAAGCCACGGCUAACUACGUG